CAAAACUUCUGGUUUAGUUAUCGAAUGCAACGGUUUAUGGAUUUGAAACUGAUAUACAGAACCCAUAAUCCCAAGACAUACUCUGGAUACCUAAUGGUAUAGCCUAAAUAAAAAGUUUCCAACGACUUGGCCACGCUUAUUAUCGCCGAAUACUUGUGGUACUUGCUUGUAUAAGAUAUAUAAUAAAACCGACGAGCUUAUUUUCAUUGUACUGAAAGGAUCGAUUAUAUUAAAAUAAUAUUGUCUGUAAUACGAACUUCUAAAUUUAUAAAUUAAGAUAGGCUCACUAAAAAUAAUAAGGUUGAUAUCACCUUCCGUCCGUUCCCAUUUUUAGCCACCUGUUCCAUUUCCGUAGGUUGUAAUCUGAUAAUACGGUAACAGAUUUAAAAGGACACAUUCUAUGGAUGUGAACCAGUAACAUUAGUAUACCAUUUAAAAUACAGACUCGUGAAACUAAAGACCUACGGAUUAAACGGGAAACACAAUUUCAGAAUAAACAAAAAAAACAGACAGACGAGUUACUGGGGUACGGGUUGGUUUGUGUCCUCCUGCUUAAAGGAAACAAAUCAGUUAUGCAUUGAACCGUCUUUAUACUGUCUUUUCCAGAUAUAAUGUGGAUGAUGACCAAUAGAAGAUGCGUUGAUUGUAUGAAAGGGUACCGGGAUUACGACGCCAAACAUAGGGGCUGGGUUUAAUCUCUCCGUAUGACAUCACGAUAGUGUGGGCAGACACCACCCAUAUGUUUUCCAAUUACGGCAGCCAGCCAGCCGGUUCGACCGAAAAGUGCUGCAGGUCCGCCGCCGCUUCCGAUUGCGGCUUAAGUGCGGGGUGCGUUUCGCGCACUGUGAUGCACGAGCCAAGCGGUUGUGCAACAUCGGCAAGAGGCUCAAAUUGAAAGUACAACCAACAAAAAAAGGCUGCGGCCUACCAUCAUCGCCGGCACUGCAGGACGGGACCCAAGCCUGCCUCAGCUUUCCUCAAAUGCCAUCAGACGUCGGGCUACAGGGGCAGCGAUCCAGCACCUCGAAGUCCCUGAUUUUGCUCAGCCGUUUUGUACACGUCCUGUGGCACUGAUGUCACCAGUGGCUCUGAUUAUUGGUCCCCAUGUGCUUCAGCUGACUUUGCAUCUCUUAACUUGCCUGCUUGUCUGGAAGAAGCAUUUAUCAAAACCGUAUUACACUGGAUGAGCUCAAACGGCGGUUUGUUGAUGGUAAAGACGUAAUCCAGCAGGGUAUCGGUUCUUAUUUUUAAUAGGCGAGAUAACUGUGAGAUAAGAGGCCGUGACUGGAAAUUACCACGCGGUUUCAUUCAUUCUCACAGUAAGGAAGUGAGGAUACGUUCACUACCUCUAUUGUUCUCACAGUGACAAUAAGCAACACUGAUUCGAGUUACACUUACUAAGCCAAUUUGAUGACCUUCUUUGGCUCUUGCCGUUGCUCGGUCACUGCCAACAGGAAACUUGGGCUGUGAAAAUCAAUCUGUUGUCAUAACGACUGGACGGCGGACUGAAAACUGGUAACCGGCAGCCCCACGAUGCACUCACCUUGGGGCUGAGCGCCAACGAGAGAGUGUUCCCAGGGCCCCGCGGCAAAACACCCAUAACAAGGCAUCCCGAAAGACAACAGAACCUUCCACAAGACUCCUUCUCAAACAAUGGCAUCGGCAAGCAAACAAUACUUUGGCUGUCCAUCACCACUGAUUACGCACCUUAAAAUAAAAGGUCAGACAUUCCACUUAUCCACAAGUAGUCAACUUAUGCAGAAAUGCUUAAUGACACACAAUCACAUGUGGAAUGUUUAAGUCUUCAGCAUGUGGCCCAAGAAUUUAGCAUAAAUUUGCUUAGCAUGUAUAUCUACACGAUGGGAUGGUCGCUCACCUAUUUAGAUGGAAACUUGAGUGAAGCAGCCCCGGUUCGGGCUUGGGAUGCUGUGGCAGGAAAUCCACCUGAGCCUGGACCCUACAAUCUUCAGGUUAUGACCUCACUUCCUGGACUGCUAUGGUGCCCGGUGCCUCGCAGGUAAUUGGCUACAUUAUGGGCACAUCCAGUUCCCCAUUUCCCGCUCUCUGCGUCCCGAUUCACCCUCAGCCUUAGAGAAGGCAGCGAGCGGUCACACAUUCCAAGGUGACCGUCAACGGUGUGGGAUGGUGUUUAGCUAAGAGCUCCAUUCCCCCGCUCCUGCCUGACAUCACCACUGAGAUGAUGUCACUCACCGAGCUGGAACUGAUCAUCUGGAGAAAUGUAGUCACUCAGUCCACACAAUCAAGCAGCCCCCGAAGUCUCAUGCAGGGGUGACCAUGUCCUCUUCAUUACCGUCAUUAUGACAGGAGCAGUUAUCAAUUGUAAAUAGCCUUCAUUGAGUGAGCACAGCUACCUUUAGCUACCAUCCCAUUACCCUACAUGUCAUUCUUACCCUAUUUAUAAUAUCAACAUCGGUAGGGACCAAUCAGCUAUAACCCCCCCAUAACAUAAUUGGGACUACCACAAUGUUAGCAUUAAAAGUCGAUUGCACGAAUUUUAUACAAAGCAAUGCAAUCCAAGUGAAACACUGAUAGCCGUUUUUCUUCUCCAGUGCCUCAGUAAGUUUAAUAUAGCACUGUCAACGUAGGUUUAUUAUAUAUGCGGUUUAUUUUUAAGAAAUGACAUAUGUUACA